rnacentral:rRNA from 1 species
UACGUAGGGUGCAAGCGUUGUCCGGAUUUAUUGGGCGUAAAGCGCGUGUAGGCGGCCACACAGGUCCGCUGUGAAAACUCGAGGCUCAACCUCGAGCUGUCGGUGGAAACCGUGUGGCUAGAGUCCGGAAGAGGAGACUGGAAUUCCCGGUGUAGCGGUGGAAUGCGCAGAUAUCGGGAGGAACACCCGUGGCGAAGGCGGGUCUCUGGGACGGUACUGACGCUGAGACGCGAAAGCGUGGGGAGCGAACAGG